rnacentral:lncRNA from 1 species
AAUGCCUUCAGAUUUAUGGCCCUCAGAAGCUUCACCAGUGUGAGUCAUUUCCUUUUAACAGCUUAAGCACCUGAAGCAGGUCAAGUUAUAAGAUUUAGUCUUUCUCGAUUGUUUAAGCGUUCAACAUGCAGAUCAAGAUAAUGGGGACUACCAGUUGACUAUGAGAUCCAUCCUCAACAACAAUAUGAGAGCAGAAAUUUACAAUGAAAAUGGAACUCAAGAAACAAGAACCGAAGAGAAAGUAAAUACUUUUUCGAGACAGAUAGCAGAAGUACAUCUAAACUUAUGCGCAGGGUAUGUAUGGUUAAAGCACAGAUAUGGAAGUACAAACUCCAAAACAACUAGUUAGAUUAAUGGAAACUGUUCAGAACUUGCAACUGCAGAAUGCAUGAAAUUAGUUUCUUUACAAGAAACAAACUGAAUACCUACCAAUCUAAUUAAAGUUUUAAUUUUACUAGGUAUGACCUAGUUUAAGAAUGCUACAUUGUAACAGGGAUAAAAAGACACAUAUUCAUCUAAAAACAAAAGUUUUGCAUGACAGUAUAUAUUUAGAUUAGAAAGAGGUAAAUUUAGUGCCGGAUGUGGAGCAAUAACUAGUAAUAGGUCGAUGCGCAUAUAUAUGGGAAGAAAAAGUAAGGCUCAUUAUGUCACAAAGAUCAUGUAGAAGUCAUUCUGAUAUAUUUUGCAUUUUAAAUUGAGAAGGUUACAAAGAUCAGGACCACUAACAAAGUAACAUUUUAAAUACUCACAAUAGUAAAAUUGAAGGAAAGCUUCAAGAAUACCAAACCUGCACAAUAAGUUAUCAUUAGCAAGUUAUAAAGAAGAGAAGCUUUUGACAUGCAGGUUAUAAAUCUCAGAUCUCAUGAGCCGUAUAAGUACACAAACAAUGCAAUAGAUAAAGCUAAAUUCAAAUCCAACAAUCAAGUAAACAACCAAUUCAUGAAAGUUACUUGUUUCAUUCUACAGCUUAGAUAAAAUGAAAUUCAUUUCCCAAAGGGUACACAUCAUGGUUCGAACGUUGGUAUACACAACAGCCUGGUAUUCAAGUGGAGAAGGGUAGAGGCGGGGCCCAUAUUUUUAGAAUCUUGCACCACUGGCCCUCGGGAUAUCUCUGUUACUAAAAGAAAAUCAUUUCUUAUGCGGAAGAAAAUGAACCUUGACGAUUAUUGAAACCGAAGAGACCAAGAAAGCUUUCAACACAAAGCACCACUUAAUUAGCUAAUGAAAUUCUCUAUGAGAAAGACCAAAUGCUAUCACGAAAAAUUGCUCAAUUCAUAUCCUCUCUGCGUUCAUAUCUGAUUUUAGUACAUGCAUGAUGCCUUUUGAUUCGCAAAAACUUUUUCUUGAAGCACACAACAAACUAAAAUGCUUAAAGGAAAAGCUCUUUUAUCAGAGUCCAGAUUGAAAAAGUUAAUUAAGAGAAACACCAAUCUUAUCAUCCAAAUAAGGACAUUCCCAUAUAUGGGGGAUUUUUUUAUACAUAAACUGAAUGUAGGGGUUAGAAAUCAAGACUUCAAGAAGGAAAAAAAACGAUUCAGAUAGAAACAAUCAAACUAAAAAUUAUAAGAAGCUUUAUCGAAAACCUGAAAACCCCCAAAAAAUUGAUCACUCAAUUCACUGAAAAAACACAGUAAAAUCACUGGGUAACAAUAACCUGAAGAAAAAGAGAAGAAACGUAACGCCCGCCCAGAAGGAGAGAAUUGUUGAAUGUGAACAGCUAUAUAUGAAGAAGGCUUACUCAUUUUGUCUUUGCUGGACAUUUAUUCUGUAAUCCAUUUUGGAUUUUGACUCUUUAUAAUCCAUUUUGGAUUGUGCCUACUCUUACACUUCUUCAACUUCGUGGCAAUUGAGGCAAUGUUUUGCAGCUUCACUUUUUUUUUUCCUUUCUUUUGACUGUAUGUUGAAG